rnacentral:rRNA from 1 species
AUUGAACGCUGGCGGCAUGCCUUACACAUGCAAGUCGAACGGUAACGGGCCUUCGGGUGCCGACGAGUGGCGAACGGGUGAGUAAUGCAUCGGAACGUACCUUUCAGUGGGGGAUAACGUAGCGAAAGUUACGCUAAUACCGCAUAUUCUGUGAGCAGGAAAGCAGGGGAUCGCAAGACCUUGCGCUGAUUGAGCGGCCGAUGUCAGAUUAGCUAGUUGGUGAGGUAAAGGCUCACCAAGGCGACGAUCUGUAGCGGGUCUGAGAGGAUGAUCCGCCACACUGGAACUGAGACACGGUCCAGACUCCUACGGGAGGCAGCAGUGGGGAUUUUGGACAAUGGGCGAAAGCCUGAUCCAGCGACGCCGCGUGGAGGACGAAGCCCUUCGGGUGUAAACUCCUUUCUCAGGGAAAAGGAUGAUGGUACCUGAGGAAUAAGCCCCGGCUAACUACGUG